CAUUUGACAGAGUUGGACACAUUGUCACCAACUACCAGGCCGCUGGAUGCAGCUGCACUGCCAGCAUCAUUAUUUGGUGGCAUUGCCCAUGAGAGAUCCUUGUCCUUUUUGCUUCCAGAUGCAGUUUCAGACAGUGCCAUCCAUAUGUAGGUAUAUCUUGUAUCAGACAUAGAUCAACAACACUCAGAUUAAUAAUAUAAAUCUUAAUCUAAGGUCAUGACUGCUAUUUGUAAAAUGAAACCCUGAAUGCGAAAUGGUUUACAUGGAGGUCAUGAAGGCAUCUAAUUGCUUGCAACAGCAUGCUUUAUAGAUUAAAAUAGAAAAUCAGUAAAGAGUCACAAUGUGAAAUAAAGAUAGCAGUAUCUCAUGCAGGAACAUCCUGUGUUUUGCUAAAGGGACACUGCAAUUUUAUGUUAGAAACAUUGAAUCAUUUGUUUGGAAGGGACUUUUAAAGGUCACCUAGUCCUACUCCCCUGCAAUGAACAGGGACAUCUACGGCUAGAUUGUUGGCUGAGCCCCGUCAUUUACAGGUAGGUAAGCAAGCUUUAAGAAAUUCAUGCUGUAUUGCUCAUACUCUGUGCACAGGUCUCAUACAAUGUACGAGAUUUCUUUCUGUUCCGCUUGCUUAGAGGAGGAAAGAAUUCAGCUUCCUUAUUUGUAAAUAGUUUCCACAGGGAGAAAAACUAUUCACCUUCAAGUUUCCCAGUGGAUAAGUUGUGCAAAAUGAAUGCGACUUACAAGCUCAGUUUUAAAGAACAGAUCAUCAGGAAAACAAAAGAGGAUUUUCCUUUGCUCGGGGGAGAGUUAUUAAAUGGAAUAAGACAUUGAGAGGAAAGAUAAGAACAGUCAGCAGAAAUCGUUUCAAAAUAGAAAGAGUUUAGAAGAAAAAAUGUGGAGUGUAAAAGCUAGCUACAGUUACAGAUGGCUAUCUCCUUUCUUGUGUUAUUGUGUCCCCUGUACUACAUUCAAAACACCAAAUGUAUUUUUCCUCUAGCACACAUAUGUAUUAAAUCAAAUUGGAAGCAUAUUUUAGGAAAGAAUUAAGUUUUCCAGUAUAAUAGUUAACAGGCUAAAAUCUAUUUAUUUCUUCACAUAAAUAGUUGUAUUGUCUUCAGUAAGGAUUAUCACAGAUCCAGCUGCUAUUAGAUCAUUUUAUUCAGGCUAUACACAUUCUGGAGUCCCUUGUAGUUGUUAUGAAAUUUAGCCAUAAACUGUUGCUGAACUAUAUAAAAAUCUUUCAUCUCUUUAAAAAGAUUGGGCUGGCAAGCUUGCUUUACAUCCCAGCCUUCAAAGUUCAUUUAUAUUAACUGUCUCAAGAUUAAGUUAGUCAUGAAUACGUUUCUAAUGUAAGUGUUCUAAUGUAAGUCCUCUCUCAGAGGACAACGGGAUGAAUUCCAUGUGGAUGUAAAAAAAGAUGCUUGACGUAAGCCAUGGAGGGAAUUUCUUUAACAAGACAAAAGAAUAAGUGCUCAUGGGUUUUCUGCAUUUUGCUUCAGAAAAAAAAGAAAGAAGAAAAAUCAAAAACAAGUUACUUUUCUAAUCCCAAAAAUUGAGGAUGAAAAAUAAAAAGCUGAGAAGCAAAAUAAAAGCCUUCCCUUUACCUGUAACUACCUUAAUUGAUAAAGUUACCACUAGUACUUUUGUUAAACACUCUAAUUGAGAGCUCAGUAACUCUGACAGGCCAGAUGUCUGUAACGCCUUCUACUUUUCAAUAACAAGAACCUGUGAAGUCAAAUUGAAGCUAAAGUGCACACGGGCAGAAGUCUGGCUUCAGCCUUGGAAGAGGCUGGGAUAACUCCAACAUAAAGGAAAUAAAAGGGUUGGAAAGAAGUAAAGGAAAAAGAAAGAAGAGAGGAAUUAUCACAGAAAAUACCUGGUGGACAAAAAGAUCUGGGCGAGAGAGAAAUGCAGAUGACAAGUUACUGGACUUCCUUUUGCUAAGAAAGAAAAAUAUGAAGUUUCAGGGGAAAAAAAAA